rnacentral:rRNA from 1 species
AUUGAACGCUGGCGGCAUGCCUUACACAUGCAAGUCGAACGGUAACAGGUCUUCGGAUGCUGACGAGUGGCGAACGGGUGAGUAAUACAUCGGAACGUGCCUAGUAGUGGGGGAUAACUACUCGAAAGAGUGGCUAAUACCGCAUGAGAUCUACGGAUGAAAGCAGGGGAUCGCAAGACCUUGUGCUACUAGAGCGGCCGAUGGCAAAUUAGGUAGUUGGUGGGAUAAAAGCUUACCAAGCCGACGAUCUGUAGCUGGUCUGAGAGGACGAUCAGCCACACUGGGACUGAGAAACGGCCAAGACUCCUACGGGAGGCAGCAGUGGGGAAUUUUGGACAAUGGGCGCAAGCCUGAUCCAGCAAUGCCGCGUGCAGGAUGAAGGCCUUCGGGUUGUAAACUGCUUUUGUACGGAACGAAAAGCCCCGGGUUAAUACCCUGGGGUCAUGACGGUACCGUAAGAAUAAGCACCGGCUAACUACGUGCCAGCAGCCGCGGUAA